rfam:Oryza sativa Japonica Group DNA, chromosome 1, cultivar: Nipponbare, complete sequence.
AAUAAGUGCAGUUUUACACUAUUUAUCUCCAACGUUUGACUGUUCGUCUUAUUUGAAAUUUUUUUAUGAUUAUUAUUUUUAUUGUUAUUAGAUGAUAAAACAUGAAUAGUACUUUAUGUGUGACUAAUUUUUUUAAAAAAAUUUAAAUCAAAUAGACGGUCAAACGUUGGACACGGAUUUCUACUGCUGCACUUAUU